rnacentral:rRNA from 1 species
GCUGCCCCAGAUUAGCCAUGCACGUCUAGUACAAACUAAAUGAUGGUGAAACUGCAAAUGGCUCAUUACAACGGUUAUGAUGUACCCGGGAGUUCCGAUGGAUAUUUCCAGUAACACUAGAACUAAUACAUGUCCCUGCGUUUAUUAGUUUCGCACAGUCCGUCGCUGAGUCAUGGUAAACAGUUGAUCGACUCGACGUCCCGGAACAGUUUCCGCCCCAUCAGCUUCGAUGGUUGGGUAUUGGCCUACCAUUGCAACAACGGGUAACGAGGAAUUAGGGUUUGAUUUCGGAGAGGGAGCCUGAGAAACGGCUACCACAUCUACGGAUGGCAGCAGGCGCGCAAAUUACCCAAUGCAGACACUGUGAGGUAGUGACGAGAAAUAAUAAAGCGGGACUUCUGUUUCGCUAUUAUAAUGAGGAAUAACCAAAGGUCAUUCCGAUUAGCAACUGAUGGGAAAGUCUGGUGCCAGCAGCCGCGGUAAUACCAGCGUCAGUAGCA